ACGUAGGGGGCAAGCGUUGUCCGGAAUUACUGGGCGUAAAGCGCACGCAGGCGGCUUUAUAAGUCAGUUGUAAAAUGUCCGGGCUUAACCCGUGUUUGUCGCCUGAUACUGCCAGUCUAGAGUACGUGAGAGGGGGGUGGAAUUCCCGGUGUAGCGGUGAAAUGCGUAGAUAUCAGGAGGAACACCGGUGGCGAAGGCGGCUACCUGGCACGAAACUGACGCUCAGGCGCGAAAGCGUGGGCAGCAAACAG
rnacentral:rRNA from 1 species